rnacentral:rRNA from 1 species
GACGAACGCUGGCGGCGUGCCUAAUACAUGCAAGUCGAGCGAAGCGGCGGACGGGUGAGUAACACGUGAGUAACCUGCCUUAGACAUUGGGAUAGCCUCGGGAAACCGGAAUUAAUACCAAAUGGUCUAAGAUGAACUCGCGUUCCAUUAGCUAGUUGGUGGGUAACGGCCCACCAAGGCGACGAUGGGUAGCCGGACUGAGAGAGUGAACGGCCACACUGGAACUGAGAGACGGUCCAAACUCUACGGGAGGGAGCAGUGGGGAAUAUUGCACAAUGGAGGGAACUAUGAUGCAGCGACGCCGCGUGAACGAAGAAGGCUUUAGAGUCGUAAAGUUCUUUUAUAUGGGAAGCGGUACCAUAAGAAAAAGCCCCGGCUAACUACGUGCCAGCAGCGCGGUAAUUC